rnacentral:rRNA from 1 species
UACGUAGGGUGCGAGCGUUAAUCGGAAUUACUGGGCGUAAAGCGUGCGCAGGCGGUUUUGUAAGUCAGAUGUGAAAUCCCCGGGCUCAACCUGGGAACUGCGUUUGAAACUACAAGACUAGAGUAUAGGAGAGGGGGGUAGAAUUCCACGUGUAGCAGUGAAAUGCGUAGAGAUGUGGAGGAAUACCAAUGGCGAAGGCAGCCCCCUGGCCUAAUACUGACGCUCAUGCACGAAAGCGUGGGGAGCAAACAGG